rnacentral:rRNA from 1 species
GUACACUCCUACGGGAGGCAGCAGUGGGGAAUAUUGGACAAUGGGCGCAAGCCUGAUCCAGCCAUGCCGCGUGAGUGAUGAAGGCCCUAGGGUUGUAAAGCUCUUUCACCGGUGAAGAUAAUGACGGUAACCGGAGAAGAAGCCCCGGCUAACUUCGUGCCAGCAGCCGCGGUAAUACGAAGGGGGCUAGCGUUGUUCGGAUUUACUGGGCGUAAAGCGCACGUAGGCGGACUAUUAAGUCAGGGGUGAAAUCCCGGGGCUCAACCCCGGAACUGCCUUUGAUACUGGUAGUCUUGAGUUCGAGAGAGGUGAGUGGAAUUCCGAGUGUAGAGGUGAAAUUCGUAGAUAUUCGGAGGAACACCAGUGGCGAAGGCGGCUCACUGGCUCGAUACUGACGCUGAGGUGCGAAAGCGUGGGGAGCAAACAGGAUUAGAUACCCCGGUAGUCCCA